UACGGAGGAUUCAAGCGUUAUCCGGAUUUAUUGGGUUUAAAGGGUGCGUAGGCGGUCGGAUAAGUUAGUGGUGAAAUCCCGAGGCUCAACUUCGGAAUUGCCUCUGAUACUGUUCGGCUAGAGAGUAGUUGCGGUAGGCGGAAUGUAUGGUGUAGCGGUGAAAUGCUUAGAGAUCAUACAGAACACCGAUUGCGAAGGCAGCUUACCAAGCUACUUCUGACGUUGAGGCACGAAAGCGUGGGGAGCAAACAGG
rnacentral:rRNA from 1 species